CACCGCGGUAAUUCCAGCUCCAAUAGCGUAUAUUAAAGUUGUUGCAGUUAAAAAGCUCGUAGUUGAACUUCGGGAUCAAUUAGUUGGUCAUGCCUUGGUAUGUACUGAUUUUAUUGGUUCUCACCUUCUAAAGAACUAUAAUGUCAUUUAUUUGAUGUUAUAGGGAAUUAGGACUGUUACCUUGAAAAAAUUAGAGUGUUUAAAGCAGGCUCACGCUUGAAUACAUUAGCAUGGAAUAAUGAAAUAGGACAUCGCAUUCUAUUUUGUUGGUUUCUAGGAUCGAUGUAAUGAUUAAUAGGGAUAGUUGGGGGCAUUAGUAUUCAAUUGUCAGAGGUGAAAUUCUUGGAUUUAUUGAAGACUAACUACUGCGAAAGCAUUUGCCAAGGAUGUUUUCAUUAAUCAAGAACGAAAGUUAGGGGAUCGAAGACGAUCAGAUACCGUCGUAGUCUUAACCAUAAACUAUGCCGACUAGGGAUCGGAUGAUGUUGAUUUUUUAAUGACUCAUUCGGCACCUUACG
rnacentral:misc_RNA from 1 species